CGGAACGUGCCCUGUUGUGGGGGAUAACUAGUCGAAAGAUUAGCUAAUACCGCAUACGACCUGAGGGUGAAAGCGGGGGACCGAAAGGCCUCGCGCAAUAGGAGCGGCCGAUGUCUGAUUAGCUAGUUGGUGGGGUAAAAGCUCACCAAGGCGACGAUCAGUAGCUGGUCUGAGAGGACGAUCAGCCACACUGGGACUGAGACACGGCCCAGACUCCUACGGGAGGCAGCAGUGGGGAAUUUUGGACAAUGGGGGCAACCCUGAUCCAGCAAUGCCGCGUGUGUGAAGAAGGCCUUCGGGUUGUAAAGCACUUUUGUCCGGAAAGAAAUGGCCCUGGCUAAUACCCGGGGUCGAUGACGGUACUUUUAAGAAUAAGCACCGGCUAACUACGUGCCAGCAGCCGCGGUAAUACGUAGGGUGCGAGCGUUAAUCGGAAUUACUGGGCGUAAAGCGUGCGCAGGCGGUUUUGUAAGACAGGCGUGAAAUCCCCGGGCUCAACCUGGGAAUUGCGCUUGUGACUGCAAGGCUAGAGUGCGU
rnacentral:rRNA from 1 species